rnacentral:tRNA from 1 species
GGGGUUCUGGCUCAGUGGUAGAGUGCUUGCCUAGCAUGCAUGAGGCACUGGGUUCAAUUCUCAGCACCA